GGGGAGGCCCUGUAAAUGGUGUGCUGGAGUCCUCCCAGAACAACUGCUCACCUUAGUCCCUGGCUGUGGGCCUCAUGGCACAGUCACCCACCAGGGUAGUGAGUUUC
rnacentral:snoRNA from 1 species